rnacentral:rRNA from 1 species
UGGGGAAUAUUGGACAAUGGGCGAAAGCCUGAUCCAGCCAUGCCGCGUGUGUGAAGAAGGUCUUCGGAUUGUAAAGCACUUUAAGUUGGGAGGAAGGGCAGUAAAUUAAUACUUUGCUGUUUUGACGUUACCGACAGAAUAAGCACCGGCUAACUCUGUGCCAGCAGCCGCGGUAAUACAGAGGGUGCAAGCGUUAAUCGGAAUUACUGGGCGUAAAGCGCGCGUAGGUGGUUCGUUAAGUUGGAUGUGAAAUCCCCGGGCUCAACCUGGGAACUGCAUUCAAAACUGACGAGCUAGAGUAUGGUAGAGGGUGGUGGAAUUUCCUGUGUAGCGGUGAAAUGCGUAGAUAUAGGAAGGAACACCAGUGGCGAAGGCGACCACCUGGACUGAUACUGACACUGAGGUGCGAAAGCGUGGGGAGCAAACAGGAUUAGAUACCCGUGUAGUCCCUGAGCGGGCUGGCAAGGCGCAU